GCCGCGUGGUCUCUCACGCAGGGGCGCUGGGCGGGGGAACGCGGCCACCCUGAAUCUGGUGGAAGAUGGAUGCCUGAAGUGUAGACUGCUGCUAGCUGAAUACCAUAUGGGAGCAUAAAGGUGACCUUAAGGAUGUCCUUGGUGAGGAUUUUGAAAAUUUGAUCUUCACAAGAGUUGCUUGAAUCAUUUGAAAUUUCUGGGAGUCUGAGGAGUACUGACAUAAUUGCCUGUUGGAGUCUGUAAAUACACAUUUAAGACAGUGAGGAUGUGAAUAAAUAUAUUAAUGCACUUU
rnacentral:lncRNA from 1 species